rnacentral:rRNA from 1 species
AGUGAACGCUGGCGGUAGGCCUAACACAUGCAAGUCGAACGGCAGCACAGGAGAGCUUGCUCUCUGGGUGGCGAGUGGCGGACGGGUGAGGAAUACAUCGGAAUCUACUCUGUCGUGGGGGAUAACGUAGGGAAACUUACGCUAAUACCGCAUACGACCUACGGGUGAAAGCAGGGGACCUUCGGGCCUUGCGCGAUUGAAUGAGCCGAUGUCGGAUUAGCUAGUUGGCGGGGUAAAGGCCCACCAAGGCGACGAUCCGUAGCUGGUAUGAGAGGAUGAUCAGCCACACUGGAACUGAGACACGGUCCAGACUCCUACGGGAGGCAGCAGUGGGGAAUAUUGGACAAUGGGCGCAAGCCUGAUCCAGCCAUACCGCGUGGGUGAAGAAGGCCUUCGGGUUGUAAAGCCCUUUUGUUGGGAAAGAAAUCCAGCUGGCUAAUACCCGGUUGGGAUGACGGCACCCGAAGAAUAAGCACCGGCUAACUUCGUGCCAGCCGCCGCCGUAA